rnacentral:rRNA from 1 species
GAGUUUGAUCCUGGCUCAGAUUGAACGCUGGCGGCAUGCCUUACACAUGCAAGUCGAACGGCAGCAUGAUCUAGCUUGCUAGAUUGAUGGCGAGUGGCGAACGGGUGAGUAAUACAUCGGAACGUGCCCUGUAGUGGGGGAUAACUAGUCGAAAGAUUAGCUAAUACCGCAUACGACCUGAGGGUGAAAGUGGGGGACCGCAAGGCCUCAUGCUAUAGGAGCGGCCGAUGUCUGAUUAGCUAGUUGGUGGGGUAAAGGCCCACCAAGGCGACGAUCAGUAGCUGGUCUGAGAGGACGAUCAGCCACACUGGGACUGAGACACGGCCCAGACUCCUACGGGAGGCAGCAGUGGGGAAUUUUGGACAAUGGGCGAAAGCCUGAUCCAGCAAUGCCGCGUGUGUGAG